rnacentral:rRNA from 1 species
GACGAACGCUGGCGGCGUGCCUAACACAUGCAAGUCGAGCGAGGUCCAUCUGGUGGCAACACCAGGGAAGACCUAGCGGCGAACGGGUGAGUAACACGUGAGAAACCUGCCCCGAACUCUGGGAUAACUCGAGGAAACUCGGACUAAUACCGGAUGCCCUUCACGGAUCGCAUGGUCCAUGAAGGAAAGAAUUUCGGUUCGGGAGGGUCUCGCGGCCUAUCAGCUAGUUGGUGGGUAACGCCCACAAGGCAUCGACGGGUAGCUGGUCUGAGAGGACGAUCAGCCACACUGGGACUGAGACACGGCCCAGACUCCUACGGGAGGCUG